GACGAACGCUGGCGGCGUGCUUAACACAUGCAAGUCGAACGGAAAGGCCCUGCUUUUGUGGGGUGCUCGAGUGGCGAACGGGUGAGUAACACGUGAGUAACCUGCCCUUGACUUUGGGAUAACUUCAGGAAACUGGGGCUAAUACCGGAUAGGAGCUCCUGCUGCACGGUGGGGGUUGGAAAGUUUCGGCGGUUGGGGAUGGACUCGCGGCUUAUCAGCUUGUUGGUGGGGUAGUGGCUUACCAAGGCUUUGACGGGUAGCCGGCCUGAGAGGGUGACCGGCCACAUUGGGACUGAGAUACGGCCCAGACUCCUACGGGAGGCAGCAGGGGGGAAUAUUGCACAAUGGGCGGAAGCCUGAUGCAGCAACGCCGCGUGCGGGAUGACGGCCUUCGGGUUGUAAACCGCUUUCGCCUGUGACGAAGCGUGAGUGACGGUAAUGGGUAAAGAAGCACCGGCUAACUACGUG
rnacentral:rRNA from 1 species